AGGAGCAGUUCUCAACCUGUGAAUCAUGACCUGCACAGGUGGAUCACCCCCGUUGAGACCCCGCUGGCCGGGGCACUCCUAGAGAAAGAGGCAUAUUGAUUUACACAGUCAUACUCAAGAAUUGAAAAACUCUUGGAAGAGUAUACUCAAGCAAAGUCUGGACCGCCUUUCUGAAAUAGGGCUCACCUCAAAAGCAAAUGAAAACAACAGGAGCCCGGAAGAGAGUUUUCAUCUUCGGAAGUGAGAGCCACUUAUGAAGCCCCAGAAGAUGUUGUUGAUGGCAGACAUUGAGUUCAAGGGGAAGCAGGUGAAUGUGAAUUUAUUAUCUAAAUGGGAAAUGGAGUUACUUAUAUUCACA